GACGAACGCUGGCGGCGUGCUUAACACAUGCAAGUCGAACGGAGAGGCCCUGCUUUUGUGGGGUGCUCGAGUGGCGAACGGGUGAGUAACACGUGAGUAACCUGCCCUUGACUUUGGGAUAACUUCAGGAAACUGGGGCUAAUACCGGAUAGGAGCUCCUGCUGCAUGGUGGGGGUUGGAAAGUUUCGGCGGUUGGGGAUGGACUCGCGGCUUAUCAGCUUGUUGGUGGGGUAGUGGCUUACCAAGGCUUUGACGGGUAGCCGGCCUGAGAGGGUGACCGGCCACAUUGGGACUGAGAUACGGCCCAGGCUCCUACGGGAGGCAGCAGUGGGGAAUAUUGCACAAUGGGCGGAAGCCUGAUGCAGCAACGCCGCGUGCGGGAUGACGGCCUUCGGGUUGUAAACCGCUUUCGCCUGUGACGAAGCGUGAGUGACGGUAAUGGGUAAAGAAGCACCGGCUAACUACGUG
rnacentral:rRNA from 1 species